CUGGGCAGGGGCAGUGACAUCACAGACAAUCAACCUAUAGCCUCGCCUGACAGAAGACCCCCUCUCACCUUGAACCUGCCAUGGGAAUCAGACUCCUCUGUGGUGUGGCCUUUUGCUUCCUGGGGGCAGGGCUCACAGAUGCGGAAGUAACCCAAACCCCAAGAUACCUGGUUAAAAGAAAGGGAGAAAAAGUUUUCAUAGAAUGUUUACAGGAUAUGGACCAUGAAAGAAUGACCUGGUAUCGGCAAGACCCAGCUCUGGGGCUGCAGCAACUCUAUUUCUCAUAUGGCACUGGCAGUACUGAGAAAGGAGAUGACGUCCCCGAAGGAUACAGUGUCUCCAGGGAGAAGAAGGAGGCCUUCUCCCUGACCAUGGAGUCAGCUGGCACCAACCAGACGGCUGUGUACCUCUGCGCCAGCAGUGAAUCCACAGUGCUGCAGAGCCACAUCCUCUCACACAAAAAGGGCAGAUGUCAGAGGGAAGUAGCCCGGACUCGGGGCUGA